rnacentral:lncRNA from 1 species
GAAUAAAUUGGCAUGAAGUGACCAGUUAAGCUCAGCUCACCAUCAGAAUCAAAGAUGGUACUGAACUCUGAAGAUGAUGUUGUUCCUUUUGAAUUCGUGGCGAUGCUGCUGCAAUAUUUAUGUAGCCAGAUAGUUAAUAUGAUCAUGUGUAGUCUAGUUGACAUCGGUGUGAAGGAACCCAGGGAUUUUUUGUACUUACUAGAAGCAGCAUAUAUAAUGUCUCUGUCAGUCAUCCUCAUAUUAAAGGUUCUGCAAGUUCUUGUUUUCAUUAAUCUAGCAUACCAUGGAGUAUAAUAGUUGGACAGACAUAAUAUCAACUCUCGUGCAGAUCAAAAUAAAUACCUUAAAAAAUCACAGGAAAAUGAGCAAAUUAACACAUAGCUAUGUGAAGCUCUGAUUAAAAUUUUGCAAAUUAAGCAGAGACACCUGAAGCCGCAAAGUCCGUUACAAAACAGUAAGAUCAUCUAACUUGAGCUAUAUUUUAUACAAAUAAAUCAAUCAGAUAUGGCAUCUAAAUUACUCCUUCCGUGAAAAUACAGAGCAUAUUUUGCCUUGCACUUAGACCAAGGAAACAUUGAAAAGGACUAAGCUGCCCCUAAUUAUCCCUGAAGUAUUAUUCAGUGUAUCCAUGUAGGGACACCAAGUAAAGGUAGCAUAUUCUUUAGGGAAAGAGAUGGAAAAUCACACUUUCUUUUGCACCAGAAUUUGAAAUGCACCUUGUAUUUCCAAACAGAAGUAGUCUGCACAGCAGACUAAAGAAAACCAAGAAGCAUACAUCUGCGAUCAUCUGGUCUGCAUAUUGCUCAGUAAAUGUGUUUUGAAUCUCAAUAAUUGCUGUUUAGUGUGCCAUCAAAUUUAUAACGAGUCAUUCAGAAGUGAACACCUUAUAGGCAGCAAAUGGGUUGAUCAUUCAUUGGAAAUGACUCAGGCCUCUAGGAUUUUGAUUCAAUAAAGAAUGUUACACUAACAAGCUAUCGAGGUGAUAGUUAAAUAGUGAAAAACAAGCAUCAUGCCAAGUAUGAUUAUUCAUGCAAGCUAUGUUAUUUAGGCCUAUCGCUAAUACAACCCCUAGGUAGAAAGGUAGGUCAUAGGUACUGUAAGCACACUCACAGGUGACAGAUCAAAAGAAAAAGAAUCAGCAAAGGCAAUGGAUCAACAUAUAUCAAACAUUACCUGUGAGUUACUGUUUUCGUUAACCUAGCAUACCAUGGAGUAUAAUAGUUGGACAGAGAUAAUAUCAACUCUCAUGCAGAUCAAAAUAAAUACCUUAAAAAAUCACACGAAAAUGAGCAAAUUAACACAUAGCUAUGUGAAGCUUUGAUUAAAAAAAUGCAAAUUAAGCAGAGAUACAGAUACCUGAAGCCGCGAAGUCCGGUACAAAACAGUAAGAUCAUCUAACUUGAGCUAUAUUUUAUGCAAAUUUAUCAAGCAAAUAUGGCAUCUAAAUUACUCCUUCCGUGAAAAUACCGAGCAUAUUUCACCUUGCACUUAGACCAAGGAAACAUUGAAAAGGACUAGGCUACCCUAAUUAUCCCUGAAGUAUUGCUCAUUGUAUGCAUGUAGGGAACACCAAGUAAAGCUACUCCGUAGCAUACUCUUUAGGGAAAGAGAUGGAACAGCACACCUUUUGCAUCAGAAUUUGAAAUACACCUUUCAUUUCCAGACAUAAGUAGUCUGGAAUGCAGUAUUGCAUACAAAAUUAUUAUUAUUAUGAGGAAAGUAUUGCACACAAUAUUAGUAGUCACUGUUCAUAAGAAUGGCAUUAGCAAGAAUAGACACAUGUAAUCAUUUAUAACAAAGUAAAGAGGCAAUUGCAGUGGAGAUACAACAAUUUGACACAUCACUUCAUUAUAGUCCAUCAAGUUGAAAAAUGCAAUGGACUAGUGCACAAACUUUGCUUGCACAUUCAUUAGCAAGAAUAAAUAAUAAAUAUGUAACUAUUUAGGAAGUUUCGGCUACAUCAGUUGCCAUCAGAAAAGAAUUAAGAAGUGCCAUCAAAUUUAUAACGAGUCAUUCAGAAGUGAACACCUUAUAGGCAGCAAAUGGGUUGAUCAUUCAUUGGAAAUGACUCGGGCCUCUUGGAUUUUGAUUCAAUAAAGAAUGUUGCACUAACAAGCUAUCAAGAUGAUAGUUAGAUAGUGAAAAAUAAGCAUCUUGCCAAGUAUGAUUAUUCAUGCAAGCUAUGUUAUUUAGGCAUAUUUCUAAUACAACCCCUUGGUAGAAAGGUAGGUCAUAGGUAUUGCAAGCACACUCACAGGUAACAGAUCAAAAGAAGAAGAAAAAUCAGCAAAGACAAUGGAUGAACAUAUAUCAAACAUUACAAAUAUGUGGCCAAACAGACCAAGGCACAUUGUUCUAAGAUAUAAUACAGAAGUACAAUUCUACAAAAGAAGAGAAUGCCUGGCCUCCUACUUGUGAUAAACCUAGCUCCUAAAUGAAUUUGAAAAGCUCCUGGUUAAGCUUUUAAACCUCAAGCAUCUAAACAGCUUCCAGCAUUCUAACUUGUCUGAGAACCUGCUCUGAAACUGUAAUUCUCCCUUAUCACAAGGAGCUCAAGAUGAGCUCAGAGUUAUUAGCUUUACAGUGGAGCGGUCCAGGAACAACUAUUCUGUUAAGUCUUGGAAGUACGAUGCAGGGAUCUCGACAGGAGGAAGCAACAUCGAUACACAUUUGAACUGUUCCAAAUGAUUAGAGAAUUAGACCAAACAAUACAAGCAUAACAACACCAAAGGAAUAUUACAUAACUGUUGGAGUUGAGCAUACCCUGUGUUGCUUAUACUUGUCUCGAAUUGCUGGUAACGAUUGACCCUUUCUAUUGAGCUGCAAAUCAUGUAUGGCUAUAAUGCAAUCCUUCAGCUCUGAUGCCUUGUAGCCUGUCAGUUUAUGCAUUUCCUUGCCCUGCAACCACAUAAUCACAGGAUAGCUUUAGCUUUGAGAACUUCAAAUAUCAAAAGCAACAUUUCAAGCUUUCACAUUCUACUUCUCCACUCUUACCCAAGGAUUAGUGUCUGGUCCAAUGGUCAGCCUAGCAAGAAAAAGUGAUGAAGCAGCAACCACUGAUGGCAAGAACCGGAGACAGCUGUAGUCCAGAAGACUCAGCUCAGCAAGAUAGCUACCCAUGAACUCCAGUAAUAAGCUGGAGCGCUGUGACAAGCAUGCAAGAAUAACUUCAGGCACCCACACACAUAAGCAGUUGAGGAAGAAUUAAAUCAAAUGGAUCCAAUAUGGAGAAUUUAAAGGAUUGGUAGUAGUCACCUUCUUGUCUUCUGGGCCAGAUCUUGUAAACCGCCUGAAAUUAGCAAAACAGGGGGGGAAUGCACAAAGAUUCAGUUGGACACGGAAUGAAAAUAUUCAGAGAUUAUGAACUAUUGGGUCAGUGACAGUAUGCCACCUGAGGAAGGUCUUGAUGGUCGGACUGCCUAUCUCGAAGUUGAGGAGCUUGAGUAUGUCGCUCUCCAUGGUGAGAAGCUCCUGCCUGGUGUAGGUGUUGUCCGUGAUGUAGCAGAAGUCCUCCACAUGCGGGGGACUGAUCUCCUCGUACUUCCUGCAACCACCCCAAAGCCAAUCCAACUCAAUCCACAAAAUCUUUUCGAACCCUUCAAGGAAAUGGGGCAGGAGGCUGCGCUUACGAGGCAAUGAGCAUUGCAGCGACACCAAGGAGCUGCAGCCUGUUGCGGCCGAGCGGGUUGGCGGAGAGGAAGCGGUCGACAUAGGAGACUGUGAGGUAAAGCGUGUCGGCAACGAGCUUGUACUCCUCGGCAACCUCGACGAGCCAGUCGAUUAGGAUAGCCCGCAUGUUGGCCGUCACGUCCGUCUGCACGGUCUCGAUGUAGUCUGCCGCCGGCCGGCGCGGCGCCUCCACCUGCACACCCCAUUCGGACGAACCAAUGAUUAGACAUCAGACCAGUCGUUCCCACCCAACCCCAGCGCCGACGGAUCGAGGCAUCCGACGGCCAGAAAUGGAGAUCAGGAAUCGGGAGUGCCGUACCUCCAUAGUGCGGAGGUAGGUGUAGAUGUCGGAGGCGUAGGACCCGCUGAGCUGGGUUUCGCUGCCGCCGCCGCCGCCGCUGACCUCCUCCUCGGCGGGGGUCGGCGAGGUGGACGCGCACCUGCUCAAGCCCCCGCGCUCCUCCUCCCCCUUGGCCGCAGCCGCGGGCUUGGCGGGCUUCGACGGCUGGCGGAGGACGACCCCCGCGUUGGAGACGAUGGGGAGCUCGCUGAGCGCCACCCGCUUCCGCUUGGCGCCGCCGGAGGGGCCCGCGGAGCAGGUGGCGGCGCGCUUGGCCGCGGCACGGGUGAGCCGGGGGCCAGCCUCCGCGGCGGGGGCCGCGUUCUCCUUGUCGGCCAUGGUCGGCGGGCUCGUGCUCCCCGGGGCGGCGGGGGUAGGGUUUGGGAUUCGGUGCGCGGCGAGGGGAGAUGGGAGGCGGCGGCGGUUGCGUUAUGUAGAGGGGAUUGGAGGAAUGGGAGGGAAGAUGGCCGCCAAAACACGCGAAUUCGAAGAGGAGGGAGGGAGAAGAAGCCCGCGCUGCGCCGGGUUUCGCUUGCUGAGCUCUAUAGGAUUUUCGCUUGCUAUAGGAUUGGGGAAUUUUGGAUGGAGUGGGGCGCACGUGCUGGUGAGAGGUGGGCGGUAAAAGUUUUAAAAUAAUACGGAAAUCCCGCGGCGCCUGCCUGCCCGCCAGCUCCCCCUCCGAAAUCGUACUGGGCCUUCCGCGUUCCAGCGCGAAACAGCACACUCCGGAUCGGGGGUUUCUCUUUUCUUGGCCCAACACUUUUUGGCCACGAAAUUGUAUUUCGGUGGUGGUGUCAUCGUUAUUAAAAUAUAGUACUUUUUUUUCUUUUUGCGAGAGACCGUGAGUUUUUCUUAGAGGAAAAGGACUCACGCCCCGGUUCCAUUGCAAUAACGAAACCACAGAACAUUUGUUUUUGGAGCUACAAGGCGUGCAGGGGGAAUAAAACAACAGAGAUGCUGCCCCAGCACGGAAACUCUAGACGAUCUACGCUCCUCAAGGAGCAAGAGAGCAAGAGAGCGAAAUAAAAGUAUCAAGUACAUCAUACAUCAGCGCAAGCAAUGAACAUCAGAAAAAAAAA